AUUGAACUCUAGCAGUGACAAUAAAUACAAACUCUGCUUGAAAGCCAGAAUUGAGAUAUUCCUGAACAUUGAAGUCUGCCAUGAAUCGUUGGGCAUUUACUCUCCUUCUCCUUGUUGUAGUAGCAGGAGUUAUUGGUGAAAAAGAUGGAACAGAAGAAGAAAUCAUAAAAUGUGGCGGAGGAAAAGGGCAAUGCUACCCACUUCAAUGCCCUCCACCAACAAGACCAAUUCCAGGAAGUUGUAUUAUUCCAUUUAAAUGCUGUGCCUUUUGAACGUGCUUCAAUGGAUUGAGAAUAUGCUGACUGAAAAAAACGGAUGAAACUGCUUCGCUACAAAUUAUAUGAUAUUGACGCUUAAUGUGUUUUCUGCUGAGAUGUGCAAUUUUCCUUCUUGCUAAAGAAACACAGCUGAGAUACAUUUUCUUCUUGUUUUAUAAAACCACCCUCACUGAAGGCAAAAAUGCACAAUGUAAAAACAAAUUCAGAUCCCAUUUUUGUGUGUUUAAGCGUUAAUAUAAAUAACCAAAAGCCACAUGUUGUUAACAAGUUUCAAUCUGACUCAAUCUAAAUGGGAAACAUUCUGACAUCCAAAUGUAGUGAUCUUUUUUAACUCUUGCUUACAGAACCCUUGCCAAUAAAAUUGUUCAUUUAGCAUAA